CAAGUCGAACGAAUCCCAGUUGCUGUAGCAAUACAAUGACUGGGGGAAGUGGCGAAAGGGGCAGUAAUGCGUGGGUAACCUACCCCGGGGACCGGGAUAGCCACCCUAACGGGUGGGUAAUACCGGGCGAUAUAGCGAGAUCACCUGACCUUGCUAUGAAAUGAGUUUCGCCUCGGGAGGGGCUCACGUGGUAUUAGCUAGUUGGUGGGGUAACGGCCUACCAAGGCUCAGAUGCCUAGCAGGUGUGAGAGCACGACCUGCGCCACUGGCACUGAGACACUGGCCAGACUCCUACGGGAGGCUGCAGUCGAGGAUCUUCGGCAAUGGGCGCAAGCCUGACCGAGCGACGCCGCGUGCGCGAUGAAGGCCUUCGGGUUGUAAAGCGCUGUCGAGGGGGAGGAAAGCCGAAAGGUUUGACCUAUCCCUGGAGGAAGCACGGGCUAAGUUCGUGCCAGCAGCCGCGGUAAGACGAACCGUGCAAACGUUGUUCGGAAUCACUGGGCUUAAAGGGCGCGUAGGCGGGCAACCAAGUCAAGGGUGAAAUCUUUCGGCUUAACCGGAAAACUGCCUUUGAUACUGGUUGUCUUGAGGGAGGUAGGGGCAUGUGGAACUUCCGGUGGAGCGGUGAAAUGCGUUGAUAUCGGAAGGAACGCCGGUGGCGAAAGCGACGUGCUGGACCUCUUCUGACGCUGAGGCGCGAAAGCUAGGGGAGCGAACGGGAUUAGAUACCCCGGUAGUCCUAGCCCUAAACGAUGGGUACUAGGUAGUGGACUUAACAUGGGUUCACUGCCGAAGCAAAAGUGUUAAGUACCCCGCCUGGGGAGUAUGGUCGCAAGGCUGAAACUCAAAGGAAUUGAC
rnacentral:rRNA from 1 species